CCUACGGGUGGCAGCAGUGAGGAAUAUUGGUCAAUGGACGAGAGUCUGAACCAGCCAAGUAGCGUGAAGGAUGACUGCCCUAUGGGUUGUAAACUUCUUUUAUAAAGGAAUAAAACGAGGCACGUGUGCCUUUUUGCAUGUACUUUAUGAAUAAGGAUCGGCUAACUCCGUGCCAGCAGCCGCGGUAAUACGGAGGAUCCGAGCGUUAUCAGGAUUUAUUGGGUUUAAAGGGAGCGUAGAUGGGUUGUUAAGUCAGUUGUGAAAGUUUGCGGCUCAACCGCAAAAUUGCAAUUGAUACUGGCAGUCGUGAGUACAGUUGAGGUAGGCGGAAUUCGUGGUGUAGCGGUGAAAUGCUUAGAUAUCACGAAGAACCCCGAUUGCGAAGGCAGCUUACUAAACUGUGACUGACAUUGAUGCUCGAAAGUGUGGGUAUCAAACAGGAUUAGAUACCCUGGUAGUC
rnacentral:rRNA from 1 species